rnacentral:rRNA from 1 species
ACGCUCGACACCUACGGGAGGCAGCAGUUGGGAAUAUUGGACAAUGGAGGAAACUCUGAUCCAGUGACGCCGCGUGAAGGAAGAAGGUCUUCGGAUUGUAAACUUAUUUUGUCAGGGAAGAAAAAAUGACUGUACCUGAAGAAAAAGCACCGGCUAACUACGUGCCCGCAGCCGCGGUAAUCUGAGCGGGCUGCGAAGGC